rnacentral:rRNA from 1 species
AUUAAUAUUAAAUUAUAUUACAUUAGAAUAAGGAUAUAUUAUGUAUAAUAAUUAUAUAUUUUAUAGUAUAAAAAGAAUAUAGAAAUAAUAAGUGUAAUGUAUAAUUCUUGUAUACUUAAGAUAUAUUAUUGUAAUAGUGAGAAUAGUAGUAAUAUAUAUAUAUAUGGAUAUUGUUAUAUUAUAUUUAAUUAUAUAUAUAUAUAAUAUGGCUAUUAAUAAAAUAUAAAGUAUAUAUAAAAUUAAUAUACUUAUGUAUGGUUAUUAUAUGAUUAGUNNNNNNNNNNUAUUUAUAUAAUAGAUUAAAUAUAAUUAAUUACAAAAAUUAAUUGUAGUCUUCGAAUGAAAGAUCAAUCUCCUCUUUUAAAAGUUGGAAUGCUUUAGCCAAGGAUGGUGAAAGCCCAGAGUCCCAGGAAUAUAAAUACAAAAUAAGUAGAACGAGAGAUAACUUGUUUGAAUACAGAUAAUAUUUAUGUAGUAAUGUAUGGAACAAUUCAACUUUAUACUAAUUACACAUAAGAUUAUUAGGGGAACUAUCCUCUAAGGCUAAAUAUAAUAUAUUAAGCGAUAGUGAAGAGUACCGUGAGGGAAAGUUGAAAAGAAUAUAAGUGAAACAGAUCUUGAAUUAAUAACCUUAUAAGCAGUCGGAGGUCCAAAGACUGACGACGUACCUUUUGCAUAAUGGGUCAGCAAGUUAAUAUGCAAUGCAAGUCGCAAGACCUAAUGAAGAUGAUUCUGAACAGGGAUAUAAAGUAUUGUGUAUUAGACCCGAAAUCUAGUGAUCUUACUAUGAUCAGACAACUUCAGGUCGAACUGGUGUACGUCGCAAAGUACUCAGAAGAAUUGUGGUAAGUAGUGAAAUACAAAUCGGACUAGGAUAUAGCUGGUUUUCUGCGAAAAUUGUUUUGGCAAAUUGUUUAUUCCUCUAAAAAAUAGUAGGUAUAGCACUGAAUAUCUCGAGGGAGUAUGAAAAUAUUUAUCUCAGAUAUUUAAUCUCAAAAUAACUAUUUCUUAAAAUAAAUAAUCAGACUAUGUGCGAUAAGGUAGAUAGUCGAAAGGGAAACAGCCCAGAACAGUAAUUAAAGCUCCCCAAUUAAUAUUAAGUGAAAUAAAAGUUGUUGGAUAUCUAAAACAGUUAAGAAGUGGGCUUGGAAACAGCCAUCUUUUAAAGAACACGUAAAAGUGCAAUGAUCUAUGAUCUCCAGCGCUGAAAAUAUCCGGAUCUAAAUAUUAUGCUGAAAGACUGUUUAUUUUUCUUUUAAUUAACUGUAAUUUAAUUAAAAAAAAUAAGGUAGCAGAACAUUUAGUAAAUGUGUGAAGAAUAGUAUUUUAUUAUUCGGACAUAACUAAAGAGAGAAUGCUGACAUGAGUAACGUUAAAAUAGGUGAAAAUCCUAUUCGCCGAAAAUGGAAGGUUUUUAUAGUUCCGCUUAACUACUAUAAAUCAGAUCGGUCUCUAACAGUAAUUCGAAUGAAUAAUGGAUGAGAAACAUAUAUAAAAAUCGUAAGAUUCAGGAAAAAUUAUAUGUAAUAACCGUACUAAAACCGACACAGGUCCAUGAAUAUUAAUGUAUACAGGCGAAUGAGAGAAUUAUUGCGAAGGAACUCGGCAAAUGAAUUUCGUAAUUUCGAGAUAAGAAAUACCAAUGGUGUCAAUAAUGAGGUUGUACAACUGUUUACUUAAAACACAGUACUUUGCAAAGAUUAAAAAUCAUUGUAUAAAGUAUGAAAUCUGCCCAAUGCUAAAUGAUAAAAUCUAUGGCUUCAAUGGCUGUGGGUAUAAUGUUUAGUGAAUGGCGGCCUUAACUAUAAGGGUCCUAAGGUAGCGAAUUUCCUUGGCCGUUAAAUGCGGUCCCGCACGAAUGAUUUAAUGAUACAACAACUGUCUCCGCAAUAAACUCAGUGAAAUUGGAUUAGCCGUGAAGAUACGGUUUGUAUAUAGAUAGACGGGAAGACCCUAUGCAGCUUAACUGUUGUUCUUUAUUGUUUUUUUAAAUUCUCUUCUGUAGUGCUAAAAGGUAGUCGAUGAGAUGUCAGUGAAAAACCUUUGUGGAAAUUUAAAAUAACUAACUUACUUAAUUAAGAACAGUGAAGAUUAGACAGUUUCUGUGGGGCGCAGAUCUCAAAAAUUGUAUCUGAGAUGCCCAAAGGCAUGGUGAAAUUGGAUGGUAACCAAUGAAUGUACAUUUGUAUAUCUAGUGGUCUUUAAUUACUAGAUGAUGUUUUAUUUAAUAAAGUGUAAUGGCAUAACUCAUGCUUAACAGUAAGACUAACAAGUCAAACUGACAUGUAAGUGGGGCAUAAUGACCCUCGUUUACAUUAUGGAUUGGAACGAGAGUAACGAAUAAAAGCUACGCUAGGGAUAACAGGGUUAUUUCGUGUGAGAGAUCGUAUUGACCACGAAGUUUGCCACCUCGAUGUCGACUCAACCUAUCCUCCAGGAGUAGAAUAUUGGAAGGGUUCGGCUGUUCGCCGAUUAAAAGGUUACGUGAGUUGGGUUAAAAACGUUGUGAAACAGUUUGGUUCCUAUCUUCUAUAUAUUUUAAAAGUUAAUGGAGAAUUUACUCUUUGUACGCAAGGAUCAGAUGUAUUUUAACCUCUGGUUUGUCUGUUGUUUGUCGCAUCGCAGAUACGCUAUGUUGAUACGGAAUAAAUAUUGAAAGCAUAUUAAAUAUGAAGUCCUACUCCAUAAACUUUCUUGCGUUGUAGACUACGACGUAGAUAGGCUUUAUCUGUAAGAAUAGUAAUGUUUUAAGGUAUAAAGUACUAAUUUUUUUUUUGACUGAAUUAUACACUUAUUG